UGCAGAGUAUUAGUCACUUAUCAAAAACAAUAGAUUGAGAAGAGAGUAUGAAAAGAAAAGGAGAUCAUUCCAGUUGUGACAAGGAGAAUGAACGACCAUCUAAAUCUGUAGAGAAGAACAGAAAUAACCAGAAUAAUUGCCUUCAAAGUCAAUCAAGCUCAACAAGACAGAGAUUAGCCGAGGAGGAUGUCCGGUCUUCUGUUGAAAUGACCUCUGUUUUUAAAAGGUUAUUUGGUGCUCUUGAAAAACACCAGAUAAACACCAAAAAUGCUUCAGUAAGAGAUCACUUAAGGAGCACACCGAAUACCCCAAGAAACAUAUGCAGAAAGACCUUCGACCAAGCUAAUAAGACUCCAGACCAGAGAAGUUGUUUUAUGUCAUUGAAGUCUCAAGUCAGCUGCUCAACAAAAGCAAACACUACACAGAGACCAAUAGAUCAGAACAAGCGAAAUAAUAAACGUAUGGCUCUUGAUGAU